AGUCAUAUGCUUGUCUCAAAGAUUAAGCCAUGCAUGUGUAAGUACAAACCGAUUUAAGGCAAAACCGCGAAUGGCUCAUUAAAUCAGCUGUGGUUCAUUGGAUCUUAAACCCACUUACUUGGAUAACUGUGGCAAUUCUAGAGCUAAUACAUGCGACCCGCCUCUGACCGCAAGGGAAGAGCGUUCUUAUUAGUCCAAAACUGGUCGGGCCUCGGUCCGUACUCCAAAGGUGGUGAAUCUGAAUAAUUUUGACCUGAGCGCAGGGUCUCUGCACCGGCGCCGUAUCUUUCAAGUGUCUGCCUUAUCAGCUCUCGACUGUAGGUUAUGUGCCUACAAUGGCUAUAACGGGUAACGGGGAAUCAGGGUUCGAUUCCGGAGAGGGAGCCUGAGAAACGGCUACCACAUCUAAGGAAGGCAGCAGGCACGCAAAUUACCCACUCCCGGCACGGGGAGGUAGUGACGAAAAAUAACGGUGCGAGACUCAUCCGAGGCCUCGCAAUCGGAAUGAGUACACUUUAAAUCCUAUAACGAGGAUCAAUUGGAGGGCAAGUCUGGUGCCAGCAGCCGCGGUAAUUCCAGCUCCAAUAGCGUAUAUUAAAGUUGUUGCGGUUAAAAAGCUCGUAGUUGACCCUCAGUUCCGGACUGACGGUGCACCGCCCGGUGUCUGUCCGUCAUGCUCCGAACAGCAGGGACAACCCCUGCCCGGCCGGCUCGCACGGGGUGCUCUUCAUCGAGUGUCCCGCGUGGCCGGCGAGUUUACUUUGAAAAAAUUAGAGUGCUCAAAGCAGGCUACUUGAAUGGCCUGAAUGGUGAUGCAUGGAAUAAUGGAAUAGGACCUCGGUUCUAUUUUAUUGGUUUUCGGAACCCGAGGUAAUGACUAAUAGAAACAGGCGGGGGCAUUCGUACUGCGACGCUAGAGGUGAAAUUCUUGGACCGUCGCAAGACGAACUACUGCGAAAGCAUUUGCCAAGGAUGUUUUCAUUAAUCAAGAACGAAAGUUAGAGGUUCGAAGGCGAUCAGAUACCGCCCUAGUUCUAACCAUAAACGAUGCUGACUAGCGAUCCGCCGGCGUUAUUCCCAUGACCCGGCGGGCAGCUUCCGGGAAACCAAAGUCUUUGAGUUCCGGGGGAAGUAUGGUUGCAAAGCUGAAACUUAAAGGAAUUGACGGAAGGGCACCACCAGGAGUGGAGCCUGCGGCUUAAUUUGACUCAACACGGGGAACCUCACCAGGCCCGGACACCGGAAGGAUUGACAGAUUGAGAGCUCUUUCU
rnacentral:rRNA from 1 species